UACGAAGGGGGCUAGCGUUGUUCGGAUUUACUGGGCGUAAAAGGGCGCGUAGGCGGCCCUCCUAGUCGCGUGUGAAAGCCCCGGGCUCAACCUCCGAGACGUCGGCGGAAACCAUCUGGCUAGAGUCCGGAAGAGGAGAGUGGAAUUCCUGGUGUAGCGGUGAAAUGCGCAGAUAUCAGGAAGAACACCCGUGGCGAAGGCGGCUCUCUGGGACGGUACUGACGCUGAGACGCGAAAGCGUGGGGAGCGAACAGG
rnacentral:rRNA from 1 species